ACGGAGUGGCCGUCUGCAUGAAUCACUCCUCACAGAAAGGAGUCACAUGCCUGUCUUGGGAAAUUUGCAGCCUCACGCUCACUCCCAGAGGGACAAAGGAUAAUGACUUCAUGUCGCUGGCUGCUCACUCACUAUGCUCCUCAAGCACAGGUUUUCUUUUGAAGGAAAAGCUGCCUCGUCUUUUUAAAGGACAUCACAAGACUCUUGGUGACACGAUUCAGCUCUGGCAUCCGCCACAAAGACAUUUGUGUGUCCUUCUGGGGCUUGGAGCCAGGCUUCCAGCCAGCACAAACUUUCUGCCCGUCUUCCACAUGAAGGGCAGAGCUCCUGCUUCUGCCAGGAAUGAAGAUGGCCACUGCUGCUGCCCCAAGCCUCCACAGCAGCUAGACAUCUGGGCUGGUUCCACACCUUGAACAAAAGGAGUGUAGCACAAGGAGCAAACAAGAUGGAUCUCCCACAAGCCUCUCUACACCCUCCUGUAUAUGAGAACAUACUGGCAUCCUGACAGUGUGUUCACCCUGGAAGUAAAUCCUUGGCAUUCAUUCGCACAUCUGCCGAGACUGGAAACUUCAGACCACUGAGAGAUGGACUCCUGGCUGCUGCGGAAGACAUGCUGGACCUGCAGAUGGGCAGACAGGAAGCAUCUUUAUCUGCUGAGCCAUCUUGCCAAACCAUGGGCUGAAUAUUUCUUUCUUGUUAUGCCACCACACACAUGGCAGAAGCUGGUUGUCAAAGCCACGGGCUGCAGUGAGCAUAGUGCCACCACAGGCUGCAGUGAGAUGGCCCUUGUGAUGGUUAGUAUAUAUUUAAUUUUUUUCGUUACAUUUUUAUUUGUUUACUGUGUGUGUGUGUGUGUGUGUGUGUGUGUGUGUGUGUGUGUGUGUUCACACAUGCCUCUGAGCCUGAAAGCAGCACUGCUGCACUUGUGUCUGUCCUAUUGUAAGCAUUACAACCUAGUUUCUUCUGGUUGCAAGAUGGACUGAAGACCAGCGGCUCUCCAGGAAUCCUCCAGGCCUCCAAACAAGAUUAGGAUUUUGGAGACAACCAUCUUUAUGGAUUGAGCAGCUGCCUGGGUUCUGGAGCCUAGCCUUAUCAUUCGAGCAAACCUAAUAAACCUGUCUCCUCAGUCAGCGACCCAGGAGAGUUGCUGUACUCCUCCAUAGUCUUGUAGCUGUGUCCAAAUGCCUAACCAGAACCCAGUUCAAGG
rnacentral:lncRNA from 1 species